UGCAGAAUCCCGUGAACCAUCGAGUCUUUGAAUGCAAGUUGCGCUCGAGGCCAUUAGGUUGAGAGCACGUCUGUUUGGGCGUCAUGCCUUGCGUCAUUCUAGCCAUCCAUCUACUCUCUGUGGGUGAUGGGGGAUGUGGAGAUUGACCUUCCGUGCUUUAAUUGUACGGUUGGUUUAAGUGAAUGUUGUCGUUAGGUCUACGCGCGGCGAAUGGUGUAUCGCGUUAACACACGAUGUCUCUAACUGCGGCCAGGAGUCCUAUGCACGGCGUAAUAGUAACUGAAACCAUUUACGAUGUUUGCCUAAGUUGCAAGCACGGAACAUGACCUCAGAUCAGACGGGGCAACCCGCUGAGUUUAAGCAUAUCAAUAAGCGGAGGAGAAGAAACUUACGAAGAUUCCCUUAGUAACGGCGAGCGAAUCGGGAAAAGCCCAGCUUGAGAAUUAGGUGGUUGUGCCACCUAA
rnacentral:rRNA from 1 species